rnacentral:rRNA from 1 species
UAUCAAUAAGCGGAGCAAACGGGUCCCUGCAUAUCUCCUAAGCGGAGCUUGCGAGGAUCCGUUUCUUUGCGUUUUAGGCUCUCGUCUAUGUUCCUUGAAACAGGACGUCACUCGACGGGUGAGUAAUCCCGUGCGAUGAGAUGCCCAAUUCCAUGUAAAGUUCCUUCGACGAGUCGAGUUGUUUGGGAAUGCAGCUCUAAGUGGGUGGUAAAUUCCAUCUAAAGCUAAAUAUUGGCGAGAGACCGAUAGCGAACAAGUACUGUGAAGGAAAGAUGAAAAGAACUUUGAAAAGAGAGUGAAAAAGUACGUGAAAUUGUUGAAAGGGAAGGGCUUGAGGUCAGACUUGGUUUUACCAGGCCAGCAUCAGUUUGGGUGGCAGGAUAAGUGCGUAGGAAAGUGGCUCCACCUCGGUGGAGUGUUAUAGCCUGCGUCGAUACUGCCUGCCUAGACUGAGGACUGCGUCUUUGACUAGGAUGCUGGCAUAAUGACCUUAAGCC